GACGAACGCUGGCGGCGUGCUUAACACAUGCAAGUCGAACGGAAAGGCCCUGCUUGCAGGGUACUCGAGUGGCGAACGGGUGAGUAACACGUGUGUGAUCUGCCCUGCACUUCGGGAUAAGCCUUGGAAACUGGGUCUAAUACCGGAUAGGAGCCAUUUUUAGUGUGAUGGUUGGAAAGUUUUUUCGGUGUAGGAUGAGCUCGCGGCCUAUCAGCUUGUUGGUGGGGUAAUGGCCUACCAAGGCGGCGACUGGUAGCCGGCCUGAGAGGGUGGACGGCCACAUUGGGGCUGAGAUACGGCCCAGACUCCUACGGGAGGCAGCAGUGGGGAAUAUUGCACAAUGGGCGCAAGCCUGAUGCAGCGACGCCGCGUGGGGGAUGACGGCCUUCGGGUUGUAAACUCCUUUCGCUAGGGACGAAGCUUUUUGUGACGGUACCUAGAUAAGAAGCACCGGCUAACUACGUG
rnacentral:rRNA from 1 species